rnacentral:rRNA from 1 species
AUUGAACGCUGGCGGCAGGCCUAACACAUGCAAGUCGAACGAGUGGCGGACGGGUGAGUAAUGUCUGGGAAACUGCCUGAUGGAGGGGGAUAACUACUGGAAACGGUAGCUAAUACCGCAUACCAUCAGAUGUGCCCCGAUGGGAUUAGCUAGUAGGUGGGGUAAUGGCGCACCUAGGCGACGAUCCCUAGCUGGUCUGCGAGGAUGACCAGAAAGACUGGAACUGAGAGACGGUCAAGAGUCGGACGGGAGGCAGAAGGGGGGAAUAUUGCACAAUGGGCGAAAGCCUGAUGCAGCCAUGCCGCGUGUGUGAAGAAGGCCUUAGGGUUGUAAAGCACUUUCAGCGGGGAGGCGUUACCCGCAGAAGAAGCACCGGCUAACUCCGUGCCAGCAGCCGCGGUAAUAC